ensembl:lncRNA
GGGAGGGAGGGAGGAUACAGGGUUAAGGAACUGUUGGGCCUAAUGGGACCCUCCUGUACAAUGAUCAGUCAGUCAAUAGAAAUACUCAUGAAAGACGGGGCUGUGAAGUUACCUCAUCAACAUUGUGUAAUACAAUGAAUACCUAUUUUGUUGCAGUGUAUCAUAUCAUUCCCCAGUCAUAUUAUGUCAAUUAUAUUUCCAGGCAUUGGCCUACUAUGUAAAACUCCCCAAAUCCACCAACUUUUGAACGGGUGGUGAGGAAAAUAAAACCUGAUAAACGGUGGCUUGUUUUACUCAGUUGAUUUAGGGACUGGAGAGUGGGGGAGGGGUGACAUAUUUUAUUGAGAUUUUGUUGAGAUGAAGAAUAACAGUAGUAAGAGAGAGCAGCACAAAGCGUGGUGGUUAACUGCAGGAAAAAUGUGGCAUCACUGUGUCCAACAGGGAAAAGCUUCUCCCGGAGAGUUUUGUUUAUUUAGGCUAUUGAGGUGGAACUGGAAUUCUGUGCAGGUGUGUGAAACAUGCUUCCCUGUAGUGCUGUGGCACAAAAGUGUAUAGCACAAAAUUGCCUCCUCCUUUCCUUCUUCCUCCUCCUCUUUCUUUGUGGAAGAUUCAUCUAUAGAAGCUGAUCAAACUGCCAUAGACAGUCAUACAAGGAACAGAAGAACAUAACCAAAAUACAUAGAGGUAAAGGUGUCUCAAAUUGUUUCAUUGAUUAGUAUGUUGUAACUGUGUUCAUUUUCUUGGGAGAGCUGACAACUAUAUUUUAGAACCAAACUUAUGAGACAAAAUUCAGCUGCGUCUUGUUCUGAUUUUUGGAUUGUCCAAUCAAUUGAAGCAGAUGUAACUUCUCUGUUGAUUGAAUGUAAUGACUUUUGAAAAAUACUUUUGCUUGGUUUGAAAAGUCUUGAAAUAAUUUGGGGGGUUUUCAACUUUGAGAUAGUGACCUAUAUAUUGUUAUGUUAUAUAUAUUACACUUACUAUCAAUGCCAAAAGACAUAUCAUGCAAAUAAUUACCAAUAAAACCUCCUUAUAUAAAAAGCACACCAUUUCAUCUCAAACUACACCGCAUGUGCAAAUACUUUCUCUACUGACACUCAGUCUGGUUCCAUCACCAUGUCAUUUCUAUAGGAUACAGUCUGUCACUGGGGCCAUUUUCCUCUGCUAUGGUUUCAUCUGAAUAUGGUCCUAAAGAACAACUCUGUCAGUCAGACAUGGGUCAAAUAAACAUGUCAAACAGUCAAGUAUUUGGUAGUGAUUGUGGUGAGCAUCAUUUAGAUCUGUACUUACACCCCUGCGCUGGACUCUCCUCUCCUGUCGUGGUCAGGUUCACCACGUGAUCGCCAUAUUUCCACCUCUUCACUAUUGGAUCCAGAUUUGCA